AAGUCGUAACAAGGUUUCCGUAGGUGAACCUGCGGAAGGAUCAUUAACACGUAUCCAAACGUUAAACAACCCCGUGAACAUACAACCUGCUCUGGUCGCCCGCUCGCAUCUGUGCGCGUGAGAAAAACUGACAGCGAUUCAUAGAAGCGGUAGGUCAAGUGACACGGCGUCCCCAAGUGACCAGUGAAUGAAAGUGUCGCUGGAGCGUCAAGGACGACUCUUCAAGAUUGCUAGAGGUCGACCACCGACCGGCUUCCGUGUAUACCGAGCUAACACCGCUCCCUUCCGAACCCCACUUUAUUGCCUUGCCUGUAAGCAUCCAUACGGAUGGGCAGGCCCCCCGAACAACUGUUAACAAUGGAUAUCUUGGUUCUC
rnacentral:misc_RNA from 1 species